rnacentral:rRNA from 1 species
UUUGGCCUACGGGACGCAGCAGUGGGGAAUAUUGCACAAUGGGGGAAACCCUGAUGCAGUGACGCCGCGUGAGUGAAGAAGUAUUUCGGUAUGUAAAGCUCUAUCAGCAGGGAAGAAAAUGACGGUACCUGACUAAGAAGCCCCGGCUAACUACGUGCCAGCAGCCGCGGUAAUACGUAGGGGGCAAGCGUUAUCUGGAUUUACUGGGUGUAAAGGGAGCGUAGACGGUGAUGCAAGGCAGAAGUGAAAGCCCGCGGCUCAACUGCGGGACUGCUUUUGAAACUGUAUAACUAGAGGGCAGGAGG